rnacentral:rRNA from 1 species
GUCUGUAUGAUUGGUUUAUAGAGUCUAGCCUGCCCACUGGAAAAGUAACUAAAGGGCCGCGGUAUUCUAACCGUGCGAAGGUAGCAUAAUCAUUAGUUUUUUAAUUGAAAACUUGUAUAGAAUGGUUGGACGAGAAAUAUACUGUCUCGGAUAUAAAGUUUGAAAUUAACUUUUAAGUGAAAAGGCUUAAAUAAGUUAGAGGGACGAUAAGACCCUGUAAAAGUUUAUAUUUAUUUGAUUAAAUUCAUUGAGUUAUUAGUAAAAUAUUAUUUAAUUAAAGGAAUAUUUCAUUGGGGCGAUGAAAGCAUAAUAUGUAACUGCUAAUUAGUAAAAUCAGAUAUUUUUGUUUUAGUGAUCCUAUUUUUUGAUUAUAAGAUUAAGUUACUUCAGGGAUAACAGCGUUAUUUAUUUUGAGAGUCCAUAUCGACAAAGAAGUUUGCGACCUCGAUGUUGAAUUAAAAGUUCUUUAUAAUGCAACAGUUAUAAAAGAAGGUCUGUUCGACCUUUAAAUUUUUACAUGAUUUGAGUUCAAACCGGUGUAAG